CCGGCGCCUAAGGAUGGAUCUGCGGCUGAGCCUAUUAGGUAGUUGGGGGGGUAAUGGCCCAACUAGCCUGUGAUCGGUACGGGUUGUGAGAGCAAGAGCCCGGAGAUGGAACCUGAGACAAGGAUCUUCCAGGCCCUACGGGGCGCAGCAGGCGCGAAACCUCCGCAA
rnacentral:rRNA from 1 species